UACGUAGGAUGCGAGCGUUUGUCCGGAAUUAUUGGGCGUAAAGAGAACGUAGGCGGUUUGUUAAGUUUGGGCUUAAAGACUGGGGCUCAACCCCAGGAGUGGCUCGAAAACUGACAGACUAGAGGAUGGCAGAGGAAAGUGGAAUUCCCAGUGUAGCGGUGAAAUGCGUAGAUAUUGGGAGGAACACCCGUGGCGAAGGCGGCACUCUGGGACGGUACUGACGCUGAGACGCGAAAGCGUGGGGAGCAAACAGG
rnacentral:rRNA from 1 species